rnacentral:rRNA from 1 species
CCUACGGGAGGCAGCAGUGGGGAAUAUUGCACAAUGGGGGCAACCCUGAUGCAGCGACGCCGCGUGAGUGAAGAAGUAUUUCGGUAUGUAAAGCUCUAUCAGCAGGGAAGAAAAUGACGGUACCUGAUUCAGAAGCACCGGCUAACUACGUGCCAGCAGCCGCGGUAAUACGUAGGGGGCAAGCGUUAUCCGGAUUUACUGGGUGUAAAGGGAGCGUAGACGGCAGGUCAAGUCUGAAGUGAAAGGCCGGGGCUUAACCCCGGAACUGCUUUGGAAACUGUGCAGCUAGAGUGCAGGAGAGGGAAGUGGAAUUCCUAGUGUAGCGGUGAAAUGCGUAGAGAUUAGGAGGAACACCAGUGGCGAAGGCGGCUGACUGGACUGUAACUGACGUUGAGGCUCGAAAGCGUGGGGAGCAAACAGGAUUAGAUACCCUAGUAGUC